CCGUCAAUGAAGUGUCUGCCUUCGGCUCAGCUUGAAGAACAGGAAGACUUGAAGAAUAGGAAGUCCAACUUGAAGCAUAGUUUGAGAUUCGAGUAUUUAGAAUUUAUCCGCGAGACGAUAACCUGUCAGGGAACACUUAAAAAUCUUUGGAAUUAAAAAGGAAAAAAGAUAUUCUGGGUGUUCUCUGCAAUGUUGGUUUUGUUUGUUUGUUUUGUUUUGUUUUCCUUUUCUUUUCUUUUAUUAUGACUCUAACCAGCGCCAGACCAGGGAGCAGGUGUAGUUCUGGGGGUUUGCUUUCUUCUUGGCUGGCACCUCCAAGACGCCUUCUGUGGAGUCCUCCUGUGUGAGUUCGUCCGGAGCCUGCGCAGCGCGGUCACGACUGCCUUCGCACUCGACCUCGCACCUGGCCCGACUGAAGUCUUCCGCGUAGUGGGCCAGCUCCUUGGGGUUCACAUCAGGACUGACGUUCAUCUUGUGGGAGCGGAUCUGUAGGAUUCUAGGCUGGGCCUCCUCCCUGGACAUGGGGAAUUCCAGCUUUGGGUCCAGACUGCCUGAGCGAAGUUGUGUGGGUCCAGGAUGUCCCCACUGUGGGUGGCUGUAGUCACCUUUAGUAGAGCUUUGGGUGGGAACCCGCCCAGCUGGUUCAGAAACCGCAACAGUGUCCCCCUCACCUCCCGGUCGCAGGCUUUCUCACGAAGCAGACUUGCAGGGAGUCCCAUGAACUCCUGUCUGUGCCUUUCCCCGGGUGCAGGCUAUUUCACAACCCUGUAAGUUUUAGGAAACUGACAGUAAUGAAUAACUCUUGUCCAUGUACUGCAAGUAGGGUUUCCCGGAGGGAAGCUCGACCCCACAGCCUCCCUACAGCUGUUCUGUAUCUAUGAACAGAUCUCAGUUCUGUGGUGCCCAACCCCCUGCUCUUUUAGACUCUCCUUUGAACUUUUUUUUUUUUUUAAUUUCAACACUUACUGGUUCCCUUCUUCACUGAUGAGUGAAGUAAAAUCUUGGACCUAGGUUCAUCUUCUUUUUGAGAGUCAUUAUUAUACUCUUUCGGGGAAGUAUCUUUUGGCACACUUUUAUGCACCAGCUCAGAGACUAACUUCCUGUGUUUUCCGCGUUGUCAUGGAGCCUAGGGUGUGUUUUUGUUCUGUGUUGCUCCAGAGAGGAGACAGGGACCACCUAUGCGCUUCAUGGGUCCUGGGUUUAAUUUAACAGAAUGCUUGCACACCAGCCCUCGCUGCACCUCGUGGAAGGGUAGAGCCCUGCGGUGAGCUCCUGAGCUCAGGCCUUCCCCAGCUUGGCCUUGGCCUAGCACCAGAACCCCUGAGAAUUCCUUACUGAUUCAAGCUCGCAAUCAUGGGUUUUCCUUAUCCCGUCGAUUCCCAAUUUCAUUACCGGGCUUCUGUGAGCGUGGAAUACAGCUUUGGGGCUUUGUCCUGUUAAGCAGCUCAGUGUCCAUUGAAUUUUUAGUCCUAUUGAGGACCUGGAGGGCAGAGGGGAAGAAUUCUCCCUCCUGCUGCUGGGGGCUGGUUUCCUCUGAACGCCCCAUGGCCUGAGGGCUCCCUGGGCAGUGAUAGGACCCAGGCUGGAGGUGUUCUUCCAGCAUCUCUGGCUGAAGAUUUACCAACUUGAAAGUCUGCAUUGGCCUUGUUCUUGAGGGAACUUUUGCAAGGGGCGGCUGCAUUUUGAAGGCACUAAUUCUCUGCCCCUCAAAAUCUCUUGGAGACAACCUGUGGUUUCCCCCUUUUCUACAUUUCCCAAAGAGGAGGAUGGAGCUUAGGAUUCGCAAAUUGCAUUCUGCCGCUGUGUCUGGCCUCUGCUUGCCUGCAAACCUGAGAAGACACGAAGUGGAACGUGACCCCUUUACCGGCGUCUCCUGGGACUUCUGGUUAGAUCCACUGCUCAUUUCCCUUGUUCAUUUGGCUUCCCCUGCAAAGAUUCUGCUUCUCUCUGUCUGCUCAUCCUGUACCCUGUAAGAGACAAGCCCUCUCUGUAUGCUGGUGAGAUGCAUGUUUCUGCCAUUGGAAAUGUCUCGCUAUUGCAAUAGUCUUUCUCUCCGAUUUGAGUUUUACCUAAGUCCGGAUGUGCUUUCGUCUGAAAUCUCCAGGUCCUCUUUGCAAGUACCACCCCUGCCCACCUGUUCUGCUUUUGCAGCCUUGGAUGAAAUGGGAGACACUGACAUUGGCUUCUAGCUCAUGGGUUUUCUGAAACCGCCAUAACUGAGAACAGAGGGAAGAGACAGCUCUUCUUGGGACCUGUUAACUGGUUUCACUGUCCGAUGUCCAUGGCGCCCACCGGAUUUCUUCUGGGCCUUGGGUAUUUUUGGGAAAAUGUGUCCACCUGGCCAGUGUGAUGGAGCUCACACAUCUCUGGCCAGUCUCCCGGAGGCCAGCUUGGCCCUGAAGGACGUGCCCUGUACCUGCCCACCCACAUGUGGCUGACACUGGUCCCAGGUCCACUAUGCAACAUAGGAAGGGACAGACCAGCCCCACAGGCAACUUCCUGCCGCCCCAGCCGCUGUCCACCAGCCUCCCAGGGCCUGGGCACACAGGACUCCACUCACAGGGGACCUUCUCUGUCCCGAGGGACUCGAAUUUGUUUUCAAAUGCACGCAGUGAUUACCAAGGACAUGGAAUGGUUUUUAAAACCUGAAUAAAGU